rnacentral:rRNA from 1 species
UACGAAGGGGGCUAGCGUUGCUCGGAAUCACUGGGCGUAAAGCGCACGUAGGCGGAUUGUUAAGUCAGGGGUGAAAUCUGGAGCUCAACUCCAGAACUGCCUUUGAUACUGGCGAUCUCGAGUCCGGGAGAGGUGAGUGGAACUGCGAGUGUAGAGGUGAAAUUCGUAGAUAUUCGCAAGAACACCAGUGGCGAAGGCGGCUCACUGGCCCGGUACUGACGCUGAGGUGCGAAAGCGUGGGGAGCAAACAGG